rnacentral:rRNA from 1 species
UUCCGCCUAGAGAGAAGCUUGCGGCUGAUUAGCUUGUUGGUAAGGUAAUGGCUUACCAAGGCGACGAUCAGUAUCUGGUUUGAGAGGACGAUCAGACACACUGGAACUGAGACACGGUCCAGACUCCUACGGGAGGCAGCAGUGGGGAAUUUUCCGCAAUGGGCGAAAGCCUGACGGAGCAAUACCGCGUGAGGGAUGACUGCCUAUGGGUUGUAAACCUCUUUUUUCAGGGAGGAAUAAAAUGACGUUACCUGAAGAAUAAGCAUCGGCUAACUCCGUGCCAGCAGCCGCGGUAAGACGGAGGAUGCAAGUGUUAUCCGGAAUCACUGGGCGUAAAGCGUCUGUAGGUUGUUUAAUAAGUCAACUGUUAAAUCUUGAGGCUCAACCUCGAAACCGCAGUCGAAACUAUUAGACUAGAGUAUAGUAGGGGUAAAGGGAAUUUCCAGUGGAGCGGUGAAAUGCGUAGAGAUUGGAAAGAACACCGAUGGCGAAGGCACUUUACUGGGCUAUUACUAACACUGAGAGACGAAAGCUAGGGUAGCAAAUGGGAUUAGAUACCCCAGUAGUCCUAGCUGUAAACAAUGGAUACUAGAUGUUGAACAGAUCGACCUGUGCAGUAUUAAAGCUAACGCGUUAAGUAUCCCGCCUGGGAAGUAUGCUCGC